CCAACAGCGUAUAUUAAAGUUGUUGCAGUUAAAAAGCUCGUAGUUGAAUUUCGGGGUUAGUAGGUUGGUCAUGCCUCUGGUAUGUACUGGUCUCACUGAUUCCUCCUUCCUGAUGAACCGUAAUGCCAUUAAUUUGGUGUUGCGGGGAAUUUGGACUGUUACUUUGAAAAAAUUAGAGUGUUUAAAGCAGGCUAACGCUUGAAUACAUUAGCAUGGAAUAAUGAAAUAGGACGUUCGAUCCUAUUUUGUUGGUUUCUAGGAUUGACGUAAUGAUUAAUAGGGAUAGUUGGGGGCAUUAGUAUUCAAUUGUCAGAGGUGAAAUUCUUGGAUUUAUUGAAGACUAACUACUGCGAAAGCAUUUGCCAAGGAUGUUUUCAUUAAUCAAGAACGAAAGUUAGGGGAUCGAAGACGAUCAGAUACCGUCGUAGUCUUAACCAUAAACUAUGCCGACUAGGGAUCGGAUGAUGUUAAUUUUUUAAUGACUCAUUCGGCGCCUUACG
rnacentral:rRNA from 1 species